rnacentral:rRNA from 1 species
AACGAACGCUGGCGGCAUGCCUAACACAUGCAAGUCGAACGAGCCCUUCGGGUCUAGUGGCGCCCGGGUGCGUAACGCGUGGGAACCUGCCCUUAGUUUCGGCAUAACUCCCCGAAAGGGGUUCUAAUACCGGAUAAUGUCUUCGGACCAAAGAUUUAUCGCCUUUGGAUGGGCCCGCGUUGGAUUAGCUAGUUGGUAGGUUAAAAGCCUACCAAGGCGACGAUCCAUAGCUGGUCUGAGAGGAUGAUCAGCCACACUGGGACUGAGACACGGCCCAGACUCCUACGGGAGGGAGGAGUGGGGGAUAUUGGAAAAUGGGCGAAAGACUGAUCCAGCAAUGGCGGGUGAGGGAUGAAGGGCUUAGGGUUGUAAAGCUCUUUUACCCGGGAUGAUAAUGACAGUACCGGGAGAAUAAGCUCCGGCUAACUCCGUG